rnacentral:tRNA from 1 species
GCCUAGGUGGCUCAGUCGGUUGGGCGUCCAACUUUGGCUCGGGUCAUGAUCUCACGGUCCGUGGGUUCGAGCCCCAUGUUGGGCU